GACGAACGCUGGCGGCGUGCCUAAUACAUGCAAGUCGAGCGCGGGAAGCUUGCGGAAUCUUUCGGGAGGAAGUGAGCGGACCGAGCGGCGGACGGGUGAGUAACACGUGGCAACCUGCCCGUAAGACGGGGAUAACCCCGGGAAACCGGGGCUAAUACCGGAUAGGUGACCUUUCUGCAUGGAGGGGUCAUGAAAGGCGGCGGAAGCCGUCGCUUACGGAGGGGCCCGCGGCGCAUUAGCUAGUUGGUGAGGGAAGGGCUCACCAAGGCGACGAUGCGUAGCCGGCCUGAGAGGGUGAACGGCCACACUGGGACUGAGACACGGCCCAGACUCCUACGGGAGGCAGCAGUAGGGAAUCUUCCGCAAUGGACGGAAGUCUGACGGAGCAACGCCGCGUGAGUGAGGAAGGCCUUCGGGUCGUAAAGCUCUGUUGUUCGUGAAGAAGGGGUUGGCCAGGAAAUGGGCCGACAUUGACGGUAGCGAACCAGGAAGCCCCGGCUAACUAUGUGCCAGCAGCCGCGGUAACACGUAGGGGGCAAGCGUUGUCCGGAAUGAUUGGGCGUAAAGGGCGCGCAGGCGGCCUCUUAAGUCUGAUGUGAAAGCCCACGGCUCAACCGUGGAGGGACAUUGGAAACUGGGGGGCUUGAGUGCAGGAGAGGGGAGUGGAAUUCCACGUGUAGCGGUGAAAUGCGUAGAGAUGUGGAGGAACACCAGUGGCGAAGGCGGCUCUCUGGCCUGUGACUGACGCUGAGGCGCGAAAGCGUGGGGAGCGAACAGGAUUAGAUACCCUGGUAGUCCACGCCG
rnacentral:rRNA from 1 species